GAGCGAGAAGAGAGAGAGAAGAGAGACUGGGACAGGACACACGUUCAUCUGGAGGUAACAGAGAGAGAAGAGAGACUGGGACAGGACACACAUUCAUCUGGAGGUAACAGAGAGAGAAGAGAGACUGGGACAGGACACACAUUCAUCUGGAGGUAACAGAGAGAGAAGAGAGAAAGAAGAGAGACUGGGACAGGACACACAUUAAUCUGGAGGUAACAGAGAGAGAAGAGAGACUGGGACAGGACACGCAUUCAUCUGGAGGUAACAGAGAGAGAAGAGAGAGAGAGAAGAGAGACUGGGACAGGACACACAUUCAUCUGGAGGUAACAGAGAGAGAAGAGAGAGAGAGAAGAGAGACUGGGACAGGACACACAUUCAUCUGGAGGUAACAGAGAGAGAAGAGAGACUGGGACAGGACACGCAUUUAUCUGGAGGUAACAGAGAGAGAAGAGAGACUGGGACAGGACACACAUUCAUCUGGAGGUAACAGAGAGAGAAGAGAGAGACUGGGACAGGACACACAUUCAUCUGGAGGUAACAGAGAGAGAAGAGAGACUGGGACAGGACACACAUUCAUCUGGAGGUAACAGAGAGAAAAGAGAGAGAGACUGGGACAGGACACACAUUCAUCUGGAGGUAACAGAGAGAGAAGAGAAAGACUGGGACAGGACACACAUUCAUCUGGAGGUAACAGAGAGAGAAGAGAGACUGGGACAGGACACACAUUCAUCUGGAGGUAACAGAGAGAGAAGAGAGACUGGGACAGGACACACAUUCAUCUGGAGGUAACAGAGAGAGAAGAGAGACUGGGACAGGACACACAUUCAUCUGGAGGUAACAGAGAGAGAAGAGAGACUGGGACAGGACACACAUUCAUCUGGAGGUAACAGAGCGAGAAGAGAGAGAGAAGAGAGACUGGGACAGGACACACAUUCAUCUGGAGGUAACAGAGAGAGAAGAGAGAGAGAAGAGAGACUGGGACAGGACACACAUUCAUCUGGAGGUAACAGAGAGAGAAGAGAGACUGGGACAGGACACACAUUCAUCUGGAGGUAACAGAGAGAGAAGAGAGACUGGGACAGGACACACAUUCAUCUGGAGGUAACAGAGCGAGAAGAGAGAGAGAAGAGAGACUGGGACAGGACACACGUUCAUCUGGAGGUAACAGAGAGAGAAGAGAGACUGGGACAGGACACACAUUCAUCUGGAGGUAACAGAGAGAGAAGAGAGACUGGGACAGGACACACAUUCAUCUGGAGGUAACAGAGAGAGAAGAGAGACUGGGACAGGACACACAUUCAUCUGGAGGUAACAGAGAGAGAAGAGAGACUGGGACAGGACACACAUUCAUCUGGAGGUAACAGAGAGAGAAGAGAGAGAGAGAAGAGAGACUGGGACAGGACACACAUUCAUCUGGAGGUAACAGAGAGAGAAGAGAGACUGGGACAGGACACGCAUUUAUCUGGAGGUAACAGAGAGAGAAGAGAGACUGGGACAGGACACACAUUCAUCUGGAGGUAACAGAGAGAGAAGAGAGACUGGGACAGGACACACAUUCAUCUGGAGGUAACAGAGAGAGAAGAGAGACUGGGACAGGACACACAUUCAUCUGGAGGUAACAGAGAGAGAAGAGAGACUGGGACAGGACACACAUUCAUCUGGAGGUAACAGAGAGAGAAGAGAGAGACUGGGACAGGACACACAUUCAUCUGGAGGUAACAGAGAGAGAAGAGAAAGACUGGGACAGGACACACAUUCAUCUGGAGGUAACAGAGAGAGAAGAGAGACUGGGACAGGACACACAUUCAUCUGGAGGUAACAGAGAGAAAAGAGAGAGAGACUGGGACAGGACACACAUUCAUCUGGAGGUAACAGAGAGAGAAGAGAGACUGGGACAGAACACACAUUCAUCUGGAGGUAACAGAGAGAGAAGAGAGACUGGGACAGGACACACAUUCAUCUGGAGGUAACAGAGAGAGAAGAGAGACUGGGACAGGACACACAUUCAUCUGGAGGUAACAGAGCGAGAAGAGAGAGAGAAGAGAGACUGGGACAGGACACACAUUCAUCUGGAGGUAACAGAGAGAGAAGAGAGACUGGGACAGAACACACAUUCAUCUGGAGGUAACAGAGAGAAAAGAGAGAGAGACUGGGACAGGACACACAUUCAUCUGGAGGUAACAGAGAGAGAAGAGAGACUGGGACAGAACACACAUUCAUCUGGAGGUAACAGAGAGAGAAGAGAGACUGGGACAGGACACACAUUCAUCUGGAGGUAACAGAGAGAGAAGAGAGACUGGGACAGGACACACAUUCAUCUGGAGGUAACAGAGAGAGAAGAGAGAGAGAAGAGAGACUGGGACAGGACACACAUUCAUCUGGAGGUAACAGAGCGAGAAGAGAGAAGAGAGACUGGGACAGGAGACACAUUCAUCUGGAGGUAACAGAGAGUGAGAAGAGAGACUGGGACAGGACACACAUUCAUCUGGAGGUAACAGAGAGAGAAGAGAGACUGGGACAGGACACACAUUCAUCUGGAGGUAACAGAGAGAGAAGAGAGACUGGGACAGGAGACACAUUCAUCUGGAGGUAACAGAGAGAGAAGAGAGACUGGGACAGGAGACACAUUCAUCUGGAGGUAACAGAGAGAGAAGAGAGACUGGGACAGGACACACAUUCAUCUGGAGGUAACAGAGAGAGAAGAGAGACUGGGACAGAACACACAUUCAUCUGGAGGUAACAGAGAGAGAAGAGAGACUGGGACAGGACACACAUUCAUCUGGAGGUAACAGAGAGAGAAGAGAGACUGGGACAGGACACACAUUCAUCUGGAGGUAACAGAGAGAGAAGAGAGACUGGGACAGGAGACACAUUCAUCUGGAGGUAACAGAGAGAGAAGAGAGACUGGGACAGGACACGCAUUCAUCUGGAGGUAACAGAGAGAGAAGAGAGACUGGGACAGGAGACACAUUCAUCUGGAGGUAACAGAGAGAGAAGAGAGACUGGGACAGGAGACACAUUCAUCUGGAGGUAACAGAGAGAGAAGAGAGACUGGGACAGGACACACAUUCAUCUGGAGGUAACAGAGCGAGAAGAGAGAGAGAAGAGAGACUAGGACAAAGGCAAUACACAUUCACAAAGCCUUUAUGAAGGCUACUUAAAAGGGCUAUAAACUGUUCUACUUGAAUUCUUCUGAAGUUAUUUAAUGUCUCCUCUUCCUCCAGAUAUGUUGCUGAGAACAGCUGAAACAUCAAUAUUUUAUCACUGUAGCUGCUUUGUUCUGUCAUUGAUAGAGGUGCCAAUGUAAUCAAGGACUACCACAUAUAAUACUCAUACACAUGGACCGAGAACACACACACACUCUGUUUCAUACUGUAGAUUCCACUAACAGGACAUAUCCCUUCUGCCAUUGAACGUCUACUGCUAGCCAUUUCCAACCUUCAAGCUGUUCACUGGAUGGGACAGACUGUAUAAUUACUCCUCUCCCUCAAAGAGAGAGUGAGUGAGUGAGAACAUCAUUGUGUGAGGGAGUGUAUGUGUGAUGUGUGUGUGUGUGUGUGUGUGUGUGUG